rnacentral:tRNA from 1 species
UCUUAGAUGACUGAGAAAUAAGUGUUAGACUUUUAAUCUAAAAACGGCGAUUAUUUGCGCCUCUAAGA